rnacentral:lncRNA from 1 species
CCGUUGCUACGGCUCCCCAUUGAGUGCCCUAAGGCCGCGGAUGCUGCUCCUACACCCGCACCACCAGCCCAAGGUGAGUCUCCUCUACCUGCUUCUAUAGCUUAGCUCCCACCUCGCACCAUGCUACUGAACUUCUGCCCCUCAACCCCAUUGUUACUCCUAAAUUAGCUCGACAGCGCUGACUCUUCCAUAGAGGAUGGUGUGGUGUCAGCCAGGCAGCAUAACGCUUGACGAGUACAUGUUCUGCAGGUGGAUUCGUACUCUUCCGCUCUAAUUUCUUGGUUAGAGGCAAUGCCCUCAUGGUGUUUGAUGAAUUGCUAUUUCUCCACCGCCCCUACAUCAAGCUGCACACCAGGAAGAUGGUUGAUAUUGGGUACAGCAUGUCGCCAAAGUACAUGGUUCUCUUUCUCGUUCCUUAUUUCUUUCAGAAGUUCAUUACUUAUUUCUUUGCUAAAUUU